CUAGAACUAGAAAUUGUCCCAUGCACAAGUGGUGUUGCUUGUAAGCUCUGAGUGUUGGAAGUAAUCAGGUGUUCAUCAUCAGGGGACUAGAAUGGUGACAUGCUUCAGAUACAUCUAUAGUAGCUAGAAUAGUAGUACUCUAGACAUACAUAGCUCAAGAUGGCUAUAUCUUGUCAUGUUGAGAAAAUGGAAGCAGACUAAAAUAUGUACAAGUGAACAGCAUUUAUCAAAAAUAUUUUUUGAUAUCACACAAGAGCAGAUAUGUACAUCUGACAUAUCAGAACAGCUGCAUGUGGAGUAAGAGAACAACUGACCAAUGCAAAGAAAAGAAGCAUCAUGACGAAGAGGCAUUGGAAACGCUGACAGUAUCCCCCAUCUGGGUUCCGCACCCAUGGGGCAGACACAUGCUCAUCACCAGCAAGAUCAGCUUCUUCAUUUUGACAACAUUGCACUAGCUGCUCCGGAACCCACACUGGCUCUGCGAUUCUGUGGAAACAUGCAAACAGACCCUCUCGCCCAGACCAACACGGGAUCUGGACCAUUCCAUGAUCCUGUAAGCACAUCCUUCCAUUUAGCAUACCCCAGAUUACUGGGGCUGUUAUUAGCAUGUCGUUCAGCAGCAGAGCGACCUUCCUUUUCCAAU
rnacentral:lncRNA from 1 species